UCCUAUGGUGGUGCAAUGGUUAAAACCUUGUGCCGGCAGGACUGCUGACCAAUAGGUCGAUGGUUCGAAUCCGGGAAGAGCAAGGGUGAACUCCUUCUGUCAGCUCUAGCUCCCCAUACAGAGACACGAGAGAUGAACUGGAUAAUGGAACGCUUUUAAUGCAUCCCUGUUUCUUCAAGUAUUCUUGAUCUAGAGCAAGGUAUUUCUUUUAACAGCAAUGUUAUUAAUCACAUCUGGACAACAAGGAUAACAAAACUUUCUAAAAUGUGUAAUAUCGUGCAACGACUUUGAACAACUUUGAAUCUAAACAUUCAAGCUAGUUUUAAGUGAAAUGCUGGAUUGAUAACAUGGGUAAAAUUCACAGGGAAACCCUACAAUUCAACCUCCAUUGACAAGAGGUUUCUCCAUGCUUAAUGUUUUAUGCCAUGAGCAAACUACAGUCCUAGGGCUGCAGAGAACAUCCUAGUGUUAAUGUUGUGACCCCCUCCAACCCAUAAGAUCUGCCUCAAGUACACUUUUUGUGGCAAAAAGGAAAAAUUGUCUUCACUUUUAUCAGUAAUUUGCAUUUAGAAGAGGUUAGUUCACCCUCUCACACACAUUAUUUAGCUUUUAAAAACCCCUUUCAUAUGAGAAGUGGACUUCUAGAUUAUUGUGAUGACUCAUGGGCCUUGUAGUCCUGUUCCUAGUACUAUUGUGACAGACGAAGAGGAAAACAUGGGAUUUUUGCCGGUUUAGCCAGAGCCGGAGUCUCCUCACCUGCAGGAUGUUGAUGUUUGUCCUCAAGAAUUCAGCCAAACAGGCCUUGGGCAGAACUCCCCCCCGUUUCCCAGAAAAGAAUCUUAUUCCCGGGAAAGGGGAAACAGAGAGGCUCAUCAGAGGAGUUUACGCAUUGCUGCCAGAAAUCAAGCUGAUUAGGCUUGCUUCCCUUGGGAAAUUCUAAGGAGUCACGCAUCUGGACAGAGUUGGGUUUCGCUUCUCGUUCUCUAGGGAAAGAGUUCUGUUGGCGGGAAAACGAGACCCAAUAUAGGUGCUUAGUGCCAGGGAUACUUUGCGGAGUCAAUUGUUCAGCUUGAGGAGAGAGAUCGUGUGUGGACUUCGUAAUCCCAGUUCCUUGUUUCCCGGAUCAAGUUUCCAGCCUUGCCUUGUCUCACGGACUUCCUUGGACUCUGUUCAUGUUUCAUGUUUGCCUCGUCUUCUAGUCACGGAUCCAGCCAAGAAUCAAGUUUAUUUUCCAGCCUUGUUGUCUAGCUACAUUGGACUUUAAGGACUCUGUUGUUUCCCCACACUAUUGCUUGGCAAAGUGUGUGUUUCGGUCAAGUGGAUUAAAACUUUGGACUCUAAUAUCUUAUAUUGGACAAUACAUUUCUGGACUAUAUUUGACCUCAUCUGAAAGGUCUACUUCUGAACUAUAUUCUUCACUUGUUUUUAUUGUUUUUAUAUAUUUCCUUAAUAAAGAUAUUAGAUAGAGA